UACGGGGGGUCUAAGCGUUGUUCGGAAUCACUGGGCGUAAAGCGGGUGUAGGUGGCUAUGCAAGUUAGAUGUGAAAGCCCCGGGCUUAACCCGGGAAGUGCAUCUAAAACUACGUAGCUUGAGUGCGGGAGAGAAAGGCAGAAUACCUGGUGUAGUGGUGAAAUACGUAGACAUCAGGUGGAACUCCGGUGGCGAAGGCGGCCUUUUGGCCCAGCACUGACACUCAGACCCGAAAGUGUGGGUAGCAAACAGG
rnacentral:rRNA from 1 species